CAUGCAAGUCGAACGGUAAGGCCCUUCGGGGUACACGAGUGGCGAACGGGUGAGUAACACGUGGGUAAUCUGCCCUGCACAUCGGGAUAAGCCUGGGAAACUGGGUCUAAUACCGAAUAGGACCACAGGACACAUGUCCUGUGGUGGAAAGCUUUUGCGGUGUGGGAUGGGCCCGCGGCCUAUCAGCUUGUUGGUGGGGUGAUGGCCUACCAAGGCGACGACGGGUAGCCGGCCUGAGAGGGUGUCCGGCCACACUGGGACUGAGAUACGGCCCAGACUCCUACGGGAGGCAGCAGUGGGGAAUAUUGCACAAUGGGCGAAAGCCUGAUGCAGCGACGCCGCGUGGGGGAUGACGGCCUUCGGGUUGUAAACCUCUUUCACCAUCGACGAAGGUCCGGGUUUUCUCGGGCUGACGGUAGGUGGAGAAGAAGCACCGGCCAACUACGUGCCAGCAGCCGCGGUAAUACGUAGGGUGCGAGCGUUGUCCGGAAUUACUGGGCGUAAAGAGCUCGUAGGUGGUUUGUCGCGUUGUUCGUGAAAUCUCACGGCUUAACUGUGAGCGUGCGGGCGAUACGGGCAGACUUGAGUACUGCAGGGGAGACUGGAAUUCCUGGUGUAGCGGUGGAAUGCGCAGAUAUCAGGAGGAACACCGGUGGCGAAGGCGGGUCUCUGGGCAGUAACUGACGCUGAGGAGCGAAAGCGUGGGGAGCGAACAGGAUUA
rnacentral:rRNA from 1 species